UCGAGCGGAGUUUUGAAAAGCUUGCUUUUCAAAACUUAGCGGCGGACGGGUGAGUAACACGUGGGCAACCUGCCCUUGAGACGGGGAUAACUCCGGGAAACCGGAGCUAAUACCGGAUAACACAUAUCUUCGCAUGAGGAUAUGUUAGAAGGUGGCUUUUAGCUACCACUCAAGGAUGGGCCCGCGGCGCAUUAGCUAGUUGGUGAGGUAACGGCUCACCAAGGCGACGAUGCGUAGCCGACCUGAGAGGGUGAUCGGCCACACUGGGACUGAGACACGGCCCAGACUCCUACGGGAGGCAGCAGUAGGGAAUCUUCCGCAAUGGACGAAAGUCUGACGGAGCAACGCCGCGUGAGUGAUGAAGGUUUUCGGAUCGUAAAGCUCUGUUGUUAGGGAAGAACAAGUACCUGUUAAAUAAGCAGGUACCUUGACGGUACCUAACCAGAAAGCCACGGCUAACUACGUGCCAGCAGCCGCGGUAAUACGUAGGUGGCAAGCGUUGUCCGGAAUUAUUGGGCGUAAAGCGCGCGCAGGCGGUUCCUUAAGUCUGAUGUGAAAGCCCACGGCUCAACCGUGGAGGGUCAUUGGAAACUGGGGAACUUGAGUGCAGAAGAGGAGAGCGGAAUUCCACGUGUAGCGGUGAAAUGCGUAGAGAUGUGGAGGAACACCAGUGGCGAAGGCGGCUCUCUGGUCUGUAACUGACGCUGAGGCGCGAAAGCGUGGGGAGCGAACAGGAUUAGAUACCCUGGUAGUCCACGCCGUAAACGAUGAGUGCUAAGUGUUAGAGGGUUUCCGCCCUUUAGUGCUGCAGCAAACGCAUUAAGCACUCCGCCUGGGGAGUACGGUCGCAAGACUGAAACUCAAGGAAUUGACGGG
rnacentral:rRNA from 1 species